AACAAAAACAUGUCUUUUUGAGUAUAAUUUAAAGUCUAACCUGCCCAUUGAUUAUUUAAAAGGCCGCAGUAUUUUGACUGUGCAAAGGUAGCAUAAUCAUUAGUUUUUUAAUUAAAAGCUUGUAUGAAUGGUUGGACGAGAUAAAUUCUGUCUCUUUAUAAUAUAAUGAAUUUAAUUUUUAAGUUAAAAAGCUUAAAUAAUUUUAAAAGACGAGAAGACCCUAUAGAUUUUUAUAAUAGUUUUGUUUAUUAAAAUUAGGAAUAUUUAGUUAAUAAUUAUAAUUAUUAUUUUAUUGGGGUAAUAAAAAGAUUAAUAUAAUUCUUUUUUAUAUUAACAUAAAUUAAUGAAUUUAUGAUCCAUUAUUAAUGAAUAAAAGAUUAAGUUACCUUAGGGAUAACAGCGUAAUUUUUUUAGAGAGUUCAUAUCGAUAAGAAAGUUUGCGACCUCGAUGUUG
rnacentral:rRNA from 1 species